CCGCGCUGCAGCGUGUGGCUACUAGCAGCGGGCUGCUGCUCGGCGCUGCGCAUCAGGGCAGAGCCCAGCCCUCCCCUGCCAUGCCUGGGAGCACCACUGUGCUAAAGGUGCUCCCAACAUUUCCUGCGAUAUUAGCAGCCUCUCCUGCGAGCCACAGUGAGUGCAGCAAUGCAGGGACGUGCACUAAAUACACGCUGCCGCUGUCGGCUUUAAGGAUAACCGCACUGGUAGAGGGUUCCAGUUUGCCUUUUGCCCAUCACUGGCCAAUACUUGUCAAUGGAAAACUUGUCUUCUUAACGGAGUCAUGGUGUUACCUGCCCAGGCCCAUGCUGCUCUGUGACAAAGAUGCUCCCUUCCUUCAUGCUGGCAGAUGGAAUGCUGCAGAUCACACGGUGCCACAUCAGUAGUGUUUGCACUGCCUGUGAACAAAUGGUGUUACAGCCUGCAUGUUUAUCUCCUUUGAUCCACACACAACUGGAGCAAGCAAUAUUUCAGCAAGGAAAGCAAAAAAAAGAAAAAAUUGCUGCCUGGUCAAACUCUCUGCCUGGGAUGUGGUCUGCCUGCUGUGCUUGUGCACGUUACAGCUGGAAUGUACAUCAAGUUAACCAGUUUCAUCUCUUCAGAGCAGCAAGCCUUUUGCACUGGUAUGGCUUGCUUGGCCGAGAUUGGAGAGAGAUGGAAUGUACAAACCUGCUUCUGUCAGAAAGGGGAAAAACCUUUCACACUUGAUCUGGAAAUGAGACUGUUUAAACUGUUGCUCAUUUUGCACUGGAGCUGCCACAUCUGCAGCUGGAACUAUGCCAAGG
rnacentral:lncRNA from 1 species